UACAGAGGUCUCAAGCGUUGUUCGGAGUUCAUUGGGCGUAAAGGGUGCGUAGGCGGCGCGGUAAGUCGGGUGUGAAAUCUCGGAGCUUAACUCCGAAACUGCAUUCGAUACUGCCGUGCUUGAGGACUGGAGAGGAGACUGGAAUUUACGGUGUAGCGGUGAAAUGCGUAGAUAUCGUAAGGAAGACCGUGGCGAAGGCGGGUCUCGUGGACAGUUCCUGACGCUGAGGCACGAAGGUCAGGGGAGCAAAACGGGG
rnacentral:rRNA from 1 species